UACGUAGGGCGCAAGCGUUGUCCGGAAUUAUUGGGCGUAAAGAGCUCGUAGGCGGUUUGUCGCGUCUGCUGUGAAAUUUCGGGGCUUAACCCCGGGCCUGCAGUGGGUACGGGCAGACUAGAGUGCGGUAGGGGAGACUGGAAUUCCUGGUGUAGCGGUGAAAUGCGCAGAUAUCAGGAGGAACACCGGUGGCGAAGGCGGGUCUCUGGGCCGUAACUGACGCUGAGGAGCGAAAGCGUGGGGAGCAAACAGG
rnacentral:rRNA from 1 species